GAACAUUUUUGGGAAUUUCUGAGCAACUCGAGCAGGUUCCUCUGGUUUCUAAUCCAUUAUCAGGAUCUGCUGCUUUAAAGCUGAAGUAAUCCAGCGUGCCUGAAAGGAACUUUGCCACAAGAAAAAGGCUUCUGAAGUUGAAGUCGUUUCUCUUGUCUGGCCCACACAUCCCCCGUGCUAAGGGUAAAAGCACUCAGACUCAGCUCGUGACAGUGAAUUUGUUAAAACAUCUGAAAGCCCAUGUUUGCAGUACAUGCUCCGUGCCAUGUGAAAGUGUUCCCAGCACAUGCUCCAUGCUGCCGUACCUCUGGAAGGCUUGGUUCUGGUUCCCAACCCCUCCUCUACCUCAUCCCACCCCACACUCACAGAAGUGCUUCUCUUGGAGGCUCCGUUUCACUCAGCCGGCCGGUGAGUUGCCAUCUCUAAUCCCGGGCAGGAACCUUAGGGGAGGUGGCUCAGCGGGAAGUGCUGGAACCUUUAAGGGGUGGAUCCUAGCAGGCACCUUAGGUCAAUGGGGUGUGGCCGUUGAAGAGGAUUGUGGGACCUGUCCUCCUCCUCAUGCCCUCUUUUGCUUGCCAACUGUGUUGUACUGACCCUUUUUUUUCUGCCACAUACUUCUGCCGUGUUCUUUCUGCCUUGCCCAAAGCUACCAGGCCAAUCAUUGAUGGAUUGAGCCAAAAAUAACCCUUUUUCUCUUUAUAAGUUGAUUAUUGCAG
rnacentral:lncRNA from 1 species